AGUCAUUUGACACGAAUAUAAUCUACUUCGAUAAAGAUUAAAGCCCGAAUUUGACAUCUCCGACAUCGUAUAGUCGUAAAAGUAAUAAAUGUAAACCUUCACCUUUAAUGCAGACUCAAGGAUAUUGUAUUGUUCCUAAGCCACUUAAACCAGCCCCAAAAUGUGAACCUCUUAAUUCCACAUCAAAAGUCGAUGAUCAAUGGCAAGGCAGUUUUAAUGAAAAACUUAAGUAUCGUAACUUAUUGCUGCUCAGAGAAACACUUCUCCUUGUAAGUAAAAUUGACUUUGUUUAGAAAAAAAAUCACGCAAAACAAUAAUAAAAAUUGAUUCCUGACGAUGUACAAUACUUACUAAUUGGAGGCGGUACAGAUUCAUUUUCAGCAUUUAGAGCAAUCAAAUCUGCCGAUCCUACUGCUAGAGUUCUAGUAGUAUCAGCUGAAGGUUACCUCCCUUAUAUGAGACCACCCUUAUCUAAAGAGUUGUGGCAUAAUGACGAUCCAGAAACAGCCAAAUCACUAAAUUUCCAUCAGUGGAAUGGUACUACUAGAAGUCUAUUUUAUGAACCUGAACCACUAAAGGGGAAAAAAUGGAGUUAAGGUAUAUCAAAUAUUAGAAGAAAGUGGAAAUAUGGCUAAAGUAUUACCAAAAUAUCUUAGCCAAUGCACAACCGAGGGAGUGGAAGUUGUGUCUAAUACAGAAGUAGAGGACUGUAAUUUAGAAUCUGGUGGAAACCAAGUGAAUUUAAUUAGAAUUAAAUAAUAGUAAAAAAUUGAUCAUGUAAUAAUCAACAACGAGAAAAAGUUGGAAGAUGUGGUGGAUGUCGUCGAAGCCGAAACAACAUAAAUUAUCAGCCUGUAUUGUGCUUAUACUUUAAUUUAUCCUUAAAAUAAAAAAUUAAAUCUGCAACUUAAAUUUAUACAAUGAGUCAUAAAAAUAGUAAA